rnacentral:rRNA from 1 species
UACAGAGGGGGCAAGCGUUAUUCGGAAUUAUUGGGCGUAAAGGGCGCGUAGGCGGCUUGGCAAGUGGAAGGUGAAAUCCCUCGGCUUAACCGAGGAACUGCCCUCCAAACUGCAUCGCUUGAAUCCAGGAGAGGUGAGUGGAAUUCCGAGUGUAGAGGUGAAAUUCGUAGAUAUUCGGAAGAACACCAGUGGCGAAGGCGGCUCACUGGACUGGUAUUGACGCUGAGGUGCGAAAGCGUGGGGAGCAAACAGG